AGAGAUCACCGAUCGCAGCUGACCGGCUUGAUCGAAGGAAGCGGUUUGUGUGUAAACAACAGCUGUAUUGUGUUGUUGACGUACGUCUGUGACACGUUUAUGAACUUUAACCUGAGACAACCAUGUCCCCAUCAAUACGCCAGCGUAAUCAUGCCCAUAGUCGCAAGGAUAUUAAAAAAAUAAGUGGACGAAAAUCAUCAGGACAUUCCAGGCGAGAAGAAUAUAAUCCUGCGCCAAGUCCGUCUGAUAUGGGUAUUGUGUAUCCAAGUGGCGAAACCGCAUUUAAGGCACUACUUUCUGCACGAUUUUGUGCAGCAAUUUGGAGCCACAUUUCUGACUGCGACGAAACAUACAACUACUGGGAACCAAGCCACUACCUCCUAUUUGGGAAAGGAUUUCAAACCUGGGAGUAUAGUCCGAACUAUGCUCUCCGCUCAUACAUGUAUCUUCUCCUCCAUGUGGUACCUGCAUGGCUGUACCAUCGUUUACUGCAGCCAAAUAGGCUCUUGAUCUUUUACUUCACAAGAUGCCUUUUGGGACUCUUGUGUGCCUUUUGUGAAGUUUACUUUUACAAGAGCGUUUGCCGUGAAUUUGGAGUCCAGAUUGGUCGUCUUAUGUUGGCAUUUAUGAUAUUUAGUGCAGGAAUGUUUAUUUCUAGCACAGCAUUCCUGCCCUCUACCUUUUCAAUGUAUAUGACUAUGGUCUCUCUUGGUGCAUGGUAUCAAAGGAAGUAUGAACUAGCCAUUUUUGCUACAGCAAUCUCCUCAUUUAUAAGCUGGCCAUUUGCAGGGCUGCUAGGUGUUCCCAUUGCACUGGACAUUGUUUUCCGGCGAAAAGAUGUCAUCAAAUUCAUACAGUGGAGUGGAAUAUCCGUUGCAGUUAUUUUGCUUCCAAUGGUGAAAACAGACUCUUCAUAUUUUGGUCGACUUGUUAUUGCUCCAUACAACAUUGUUCACUACAAUAUAUUUACAAAUCAUGGACCCAAUUUGUAUGGCACAGAGCCAUUUUCAUUUUACUUUGUUAAUGGGUUCCUGAACUUCAACUUUGUGUUCUUAGCAGCUUUAUUCUCUCCUCUUUUUCUGCUUUUGGUGUCUUGGCUUGUUCCAUCAAAGCCACGAAAUCCAGGUUGCUUGCCUUUCUGGUUGUCUCUUAUGCCCAUGUUCUUAUGGAUGGUUGUGUUCUUUGCACAACCUCACAAGGAGGAACGAUUUUUGUUCCCUGUUUAUCCACUUAUUUGCCUUAAUGGAGCAAUAACUGUUGAUGCACUGCAGAAACUUUGGUUUCGGUUCUUUGUGGAAGAUGGAGAAAAGGCAUCACAUUAUCUGAAUCACACAGUGCCAAUAAUGGUGGCAGCAAUAGCUGUUUGCUCACUGUUUGGGAUUUCAAGGAUAUUUGCACUAUACAAUGGUUACCACGCGCCCAUAGAUAUUUUCUUGGAGCUGAAUAGUCUCAAUGCAGAAAAAAGGAUUCCUUCUGACACUACCAUAAAUGUUUGUGUUGGAAAGGAGUGGUAUCGUUACCCAUCCAGCUUCUUUCUGCCAGACAAUAACUGGAAUUUGCAGUUCCUGAAAUCUGAAUUUAGAGGCCAGCUGCCAAAACCAUACAGCAGUGCUCACAAUGCAACAUCCAUAAUACCUGAAUUUAUGAAUGAUAUGAAUAAAGAAGAACCGUCAAGAUAUUUUGACAUUGAAAACUGCCAUUUCUUAUUUGACUUGGAUCUGGAAGGACGUGAGACACCAAAAGAAUCCAAUUAUUCACAUCAGAAAGAUUACUGGAUGGUUAUCAAGUCAAUACCAUUUUUGGAUGUGGAGAGGUCGCACAGAUUUUUCAGAGCUUUCUAUAUACCUGGGCUGUCAGAGAGGUUUUGUACCUAUGCACCUUAUAAUCUCCUGAGGUCCACAAAAUUUGAAUUAAGGGAGGAAGAGAAUGGAGUUAACAGAUAGAACGUGUAAUCAUACAGUGAAAGAGAGGUUGAACAUUAUAUAAACCUCCAUUGAUACAGAAUACAAGUAAAUGACAGGAAAGCACCAUGACUGGAAUGAGCCAUCUUCAAAUGCUGUAGAAUUGACUUUCUCCAGAACUUCACAAGAACUCUGAUGACUUCAUUUUCCAACAGGAUGGAACACCGUCAUACUGGAACACCAACAUACAUCAGUUUCUCAAUGACGCACUGCCUCAACGCUGAGUAGGGUGCACAGGACUUUGAGAUGCUGCCC
rnacentral:misc_RNA from 1 species